rnacentral:tRNA from 1 species
GCCGCUGUGGCGAAAUUGGCAGACGCGCACGACUCAAAAUCGUGUGGCUUUACAGCCAUGUCGGUUCAAGUCCGACCAGCGGCA